rnacentral:rRNA from 1 species
GAUGAACGCUAGCGGCAGGCUUAAUACAUGCAAGUCGAACGGCAGCACAGUGUAGCAAUACAUGGGUGGCGAGUGGCGCACGGGUGCGUAACACGUAUGCAAUUUGCCCAUAACUGGGGGAUAGCCCUCCGAAAGGAGGAUUAAUACCCCAUAACCCAGCGAGGUGGCAUCACUUUUCUGGUAAAUCUCCGGAGGUUAUGGAUGAGCAUGCGUCCGAUUAGCUAGUUGGUGAGGUAACGGCUCACCAAGGCAACGAUCGGUAGGGGGUCUGAGAGGAUGAUCCCCCACACGGGUACUGAGACACGGGACCCGACUCCUACGGGAGGCAGACAGUAAGGAAUAUUGGACAAUGGAGGCAACUCUGAUCCAGCCAUGCCGCGUGCAGGAUGAA